AUGCUGCAAUACCUACCACUUGCUAUAUCAUGCCUCCCAUAUUUCCAUGUCAAGCCUCUAACCCACCUUGUCCUAACAAACCGUUGUUUGGCUAUGUUACCGCUUUGCUCAACCCCUCUUAUAACAUUGUUAGUUGCAGGUGAAGAUGGAGUUUGUUCCAUGUUGGAACAUUGUUAUAUGUUGGGAUAUCACAAUAUCUCUUAUUUAAUUAAUGCAUCUAUAUACUUGGUAAAGGGUGGAAGGCUCGGCCUUAUGCCUGGUGUUUUGUUCCACUCUUGCCGCCCUAGUUUCCGUCAUACCGGUGUUAUGUUCCUUGAUUUUGCGUUCCUUACGCGGUUGGGUUAUAAUGGGAACCCCUUGACGGUUCUCCUUGUAUAA
rnacentral:rRNA from 1 species